rnacentral:rRNA from 1 species
ACAGGUUAAUAUUCCUGUACUUGGUGUUACUGCGAAGGGGGGGACGGAGAAGGCUAUGUUAGCCGGGCGACGGUUGUCCCGGUUUAAGCAUGUAGGCUGAUUGUCCAGGCAAAUCCGGAUAAUCAAGGCUGAGGUGUGAUGACGAGGCACUACGGUGCUGAAGUAACAAAUGCCCUGCUUCCAGGAAAAGCCUCUAAGCAUCAGGUAACAUCAAAUCGUACCCCAAACCGACACAGGUGGUCAGGUAGAGAAUACCAAGGCGCUUGAGAGAACUCGGGUGAAGGAACUAGGCAAAAUGGUGCCGUAACUUCGGGAGAAGGCACGCUGGUGUGUAGGUGAAG